rnacentral:rRNA from 1 species
AGCGAACGCUGGCGGCAGGCCUAACACAUGCAAGUCGAACGAACCUUUCGGGGUUAGUGGCGGACGGGUGAGUAACACGUGGGAACGUGCCUUUAGGUUCGGAAUAACUCAGGGAAACUUGUGCUAAUACCGAAUGUGCCCUUCGGGGGAAAGAUUAAUCGCCUUUAGAGCGGCCCGCGUCUGAUUAGCUAGUUGGUUGAGGUAAUGGCUCACCAAGGCGACGAUCAGUAGCUGGUCUGAGAGGAUGAUCAGCCACAUUGGGACUGCGACACGGACCAAACUCCUACGGGAGGCAGCAGUGGGGAAUCUUGCGCAAUGGGCGAAAGCCUGACGCAGCCAUGCCGCGUGAAUGAUGAAGGUCUUAGGAUUGUAAAAUUCUUUCACCGGGGACGAUAAUGACGGUACCCGGAGAAGAAGCCCCGGCUAACUUCGUG